rnacentral:misc_RNA from 1 species
GAACACCAACAAAAGUUAUGUGAUUGGGCUCAACAUCAGCUAAUCUCAUUUGUUCAAAAAUCUUUAUAGCUUGUUCACCAAAUCCGUGGUGAGAAAAUCCACAGAUUAUAGAAUUCCAAGAAAUGAUAUUAUGACUAGGCAUAGAAGAGAAUUCCAGCAAUGCAGAGUGCAUGUGCCCACACCUUGCAUACAUGGUGACCAUUGCAUUAGAAACUUCAGUAACAUGAUCAAAACCUGUUUUUAUUGCCUCUGCAUGGAUUUGUUCACCAAGAAGUGAGGCUGGCAAGUCCGAACAGAUUGUCAAAACACUAGUAAGUGUAGCUUUAUCGGGAGAUGAACCUAACUCUUUCAUUCUAACAAAAAUUUUUAGACCUUCCUCACCAUUACCAUUUUCUCCUAAUCCACAAAUCAUGACAUUCCAUACAGUUGUAUCAGGAGUUCUCAUCAAUUUGAAAAGUUUGAUAGCACCACUAACUUCACCUACUUCAAAAUAUCCAACGAGUAUAUUUGUCCAUGACACUAUGUCACCAUAUGGGAGUUUCUCAAGGAACCCAUGAACUGCUUUGACAUGCCCAUUUCUUAUUAAUCCUAACAAAACCAAGUUCCAUGUCUUUUGGCAUUUCUCUGGCAUUUCCAUGUAGAAGUUAAGAGCAUCAUUGACUCUUUGACAACUUACCAAUCCAUUUAUGAAACACUUCCAAGAGUCAAGAUCCCGCUCCAGCAUUUUUUGAAAUAAAAUUUCUGCCAUUUCAAUCCGCUGGUUUUCCAUAUAGCCAACCAUCAAGGCGUUCCAAGCUUGGACAUCUUUUAUGGGCAUCUCUUCAAAAAAAUCAUGAGCUUCCUUAAUACGUCCCACUC